UACGUAGGGUGCAAGCGUUAAUCGGAAUUACUGGGCGUAAAGCGUGCGCAGGCGGUGAUGUAAGACAGAUGUGAAAUCCCCGGGCUCAACCUGGGAACUGCAUUUGUGACUGCAUCGCUAGAGUACGGGCAGAGGGGGAUGGAAUUCCGCGUGUAGCAGUGAAAUGCGUAGAUAUGCGGAGGAACACCGAUGGCGAAGGCAAUCCCCUGGGCCUGUACUGACGCUCAUGCACGAAAGCGUGGGGAGCAAACAGG
rnacentral:rRNA from 1 species